AACUUUCGACAACGGAUCUCUUGGUUCUCCCAUCGAUGAAGAACGCAGCGAAACGCGAUAGUUAAUGUGAAUUGCAGAAUUCAGUGAAUCAUCGA
rnacentral:rRNA from 1 species